rnacentral:rRNA from 1 species
UACGUAGGGUGCGAGCGUUGCCCGGAUUUAUUGGGCGUAAAGGGCGCGCAGGCGGUCGUGCAAGUCGCGUGUGAAAGCCCCCGGCUCAACUGGGGAGGGUCACGCGAUACUGCUCGACUUGAAGGCAGGAGAGGGAAGUGGAAUUCCCGGUGUAGUGGUGAAAUGCGUAGAUAUCGGGAGGAACACCAGUGGCGAAGGCGACUUCCUGGCCUGUUCUUGACGCUGAGGCGCGAAAGCUAGGGUAGCAAACGGG